AACGAACGCUGGCGGCAUGCCUAACACAUGCAAGUCGAACGAGACCUUCGGGUCUAGUGGCGCACGGGUGCGUAACGCGUGGGAACCUGCCCUUAGGUUCGGAAUAACUCCCCGAAAGGGGUGCUAAUACCGGAUAAUGUCUUCGGACCAAAGAUUUAUCGCCUUUGGAUGGGCCCGCGUUGGAUUAGCUAGUUGGUAGGGUAAAAGCCUACCAAGGCGACGAUCCAUAGCUGGUCUGAGAGGAUGAUCAGCCACACUGGGACUGAGACACGGCCCAGACUCCCAGGGGAGGCAGAGGGGGGGAAUUUGGGAAAGUGGGCAAAAGCCUAAUCCAGCAAUGCCGGGGGAGUGAUGAGGGCCUGGGGGUUGAAAAGCUUUUUUCCCGGGGAUGAUAAGGACAGUCCGGGGAAAAAAGGCCCCGGCUACCUCCGUG
rnacentral:rRNA from 1 species